GUGAUUAUUACCCUUUUGAUUCCUAUUACCCUAUGCUUUAUCUUUCAGCUAAGUGUACUCGUGACCCUACCAGCACUUUUCAAGAUACUUUCGACGUAUUCAUUGCGGUGAACAACGCGGUUGGGACAGCACACUCACGACGUGGGAAGGUCACAGAAAUGUUGAAAGACAUCAGAUGUGUGGAAACGUCGUAGCGGAUGAAUGUGAAUUAUGGAUCUCCAAGUGGCGUCGCCCGCGUCAUUUUCAAGAUUUUACCCGUUUUGAAGGUACGUAGUGAAUGUGCGAGGCAUUCACGUUCCUACUACGUGGUUAUCCAUGCGUUUCCCGUCUUCGCAGGCAAUAGGGCUGUUGAUAGGGAGAAUGCUAGGCUACUGCAGACUGCAACCACAGGCGCUGUGUCUAAAGGUUAAGCUCACAUGACGCGGCAGGGAAGGGAGUCCGUGGCGAAAAGUGAAUAUAGCCGAAGUUGGAUAGCGUUAAUUUUUGCGCACGAAAGGCAAGCUGGACACAUCGCAAAUCUCCAGUUGUACGAAACACAGUGCAGCAUGGUCGUCGGUUAUGCCAGUGCUUCAACAUAUGUUUCAGCGUCGCACUUCGGACAUUGCGGGCAUAUACCUUUAAGU